UACGAAGGGGGCGAGCGUUGUUCGGAUUUACUGGGCGUAAAGGGCGCGCAGGCGGCGCAUUUUGUCAGGCGUGAAAGCCCCGGGCUUAACCUGGGAACUGCGUUUGAUACGGAUGGGCUAGAGUUCGGGAGAGGAGAGUGGAAUUCCAGGUGUAGCGGUGAAAUGCGUAGAUAUCUGGAGGAACACCGGUGGCGAAGGCGGCAUCCUGGACCGAUAUUGACGCUGAUGCGCGAAAGCCAGGGGAGCAAACGGG
rnacentral:rRNA from 1 species